rnacentral:rRNA from 1 species
AGAGCGAACGCUGGCGGCAGGCCUAAUACAUGCAAGUCGAACGGACCCUUCGGGGUUAGUGGCGGACGGGUGAGUAACACGUGGGAACGUGCCCUUUGGUUCGGAACAACUCAGGGAAACUUGAGCUAAUACCGAAUGUGCCCCCAUCCUUAAACAAGAUGGGUGGGAAAGAUUUAUCGCCAUUGGAGCGGCCCGCGUCUGAUUAGCUAGUUGGUGAGGUAAAGGCUCACCAAGGCGACGAUCAGUAGCUGGUCUGAGAGGAUGAUCAGCCACACUGGGACUGAGACACGGCCCAGACUCCUACGGGAGGCAGCAGUAGGGAAUCUUGCGCAAUGGGCGAAAGCCUGACGCAGCCAUGCCGCGUGAAUGAUGAAGGUCUUAGGAUUGUAAAAUUCUUUCAGCGGGGACGAUAAUGACGGUACCGCAGAAGAAGCCCGGAUAACUUCGCGCCAGCAGCCGC